CAGUCACAUCCUUGCAACGCUGUCUCUCUGAUCCGACACUGGCGCAGGGUCUGGCUGAGUGCUUGUCCAGCGGGCUGUUUCGGGCUGGGCGAGGUCACCGACCUCAACGGCUUCGCAAUGAACCGCGACCCUGAGAUGAGCUGUUCUCUUCCUGUGAGUGAAGCUCUGAUUCCGGGGGUCCCCCCCCCCGGGUCUCAUCAGCUCCACGCCAGGGGCUGGUGGACCCUCGGGCACUGGGCCGGCUGGGGUGUAACCGGAGCUGGGGGCACGGGGCUGGGGGCGAAGGCCCUUCCCAGGGUCCCAGCGGGCGGGCGGCUGGGGCCGGGCGGCUUCAGGGAGGCUGUCCACGCCCGCCCUGCCCUCGAGGGGCCAGCGCCCCAGGACCGUCCACCCUGAGGACCAGCCCCGCUCACUCGCGCCGUCCCUCCCUCGCUGGCUCGGGUUUGGGGCUGUGUCCCCAACACAGGGAGGGUCAGUGGGGCAAGAGGUGAAGGGAGCGCUGGUUUGGGUUUCCUCUUUAACAUUUUUCAAGGGAUGUGAGCAAACUGGAACUUUGUUAGUAGCUGAGCGCUGCCUCCGUGGCCCCGCGGUCGGAGGAUGUGGCCGCGCGACAGAGGGACUCGGAGGCACGCACCUCGGUGUCCGCAGCAGCAUGACUCCCAGGAGCCGGAAAGCAGACACGGCCGGAGGGUCCGCUGACAGGUGAUGGAUAAACCAACUGUGGUCCAUCCCGAGGGACUAGCACUCGGUCAUAACAAAGACCACAGCCCUGACACGCGCUUCACAGUGGACGAACCUCACGGCCUCACGCUGAGUGAGAGAAGCUGACACAGAAGGCCUCAUGUGAUCCCAUAGGGGAAAGGUCCAGAACAGGCAGAUCCACAGACAGAGGCAGACGGGUGGUGGCCCGGGGCUGGGGAGGGGGAUGGGGAGGGGCUGCUCGUGGGGACGGGGUCUCCUUCUAGGGUGAUGGAAUGUUCAGGAAUUAGAUACUGGUGGUGGUUGCAUGUGCACUAAAUGUCCCUGAAUUGUGUACUUUAAGUUGGUUCAUUUUGUUAUGUGAAUUUCACCUCAAUUAAAAAAAAAAGAUUUUGGGGCCGGCC